CCCAAUAUUGCUAUAGAGCAUUUUAGGUUCUCCAGGAAUAUAAAUGGCCUCUGGGCAACAAGGCUUUUGUCCCUUGACAGAAACGAAAACAGGCCUGAAAGCUUCGGUGCUAAAAGAGAGAGAUCCAGAACGUCACCCAAAUGGGAUGGGCCUCUGGCCUGGGCAGGAGCGCUCGGGACCCCACCGCAGGAGAGACGCUGUGCUACCCCCAGCCCCACACAGCUCCCAAGGCAAGUUCUAAGCUCGGGGCCUAGAUGCCGACCGUUCGCACGGAGUCUGUUCCAGGAGUCCGUACCCCCGUGCAACCCCGCCCGAUCCCCCAGAAACAAUCCACUCCAGAAAUGUAGGCCAUUCUGUGUUUGCAUUUACAGAUUCGCCACUCCUCGCCAAGGCCUCGUAUUUGAGGACCCGGAUUCUCUCGACAUCUGCCUAAAGCUGCGGUCAACGGCCUACCGCCACGUUCAUUUCCAUUACACCCUACUCUUGCCCAAGGCCUCCCGCCUGUGAAAUUGAAAGAAAUUCUUAACUCCUUAUUUAAGUCCCUCCUUUUCCUGCUCGCAUUAUUUCCUACUUCAGAGAAAAUCAGAUAGCUACGAUGAGGAAGUGCCUACAUUUUCCUGAAAAAAAAAAAAUAAUAAUAAUAACAAUGAUAAUAGUAAGUGCAACGAAAUGAAACUUGACUCAUAGGGAACUACGUUACUUAUAAAUAAGAAGGAAGAAGUAAUUACUGGUAGUGCUAGGAAACAAAAUUAGGUGGGAAAUGGGAGGCAGAUUCCCAUUAAACAGACUGCCCCAUAUUCGAGUGGGGACGGGCUAUUCUUCCUUAACCCUUAAAAGUAAUCACCUAUAAUAAAUUAUUUUCAAACUGUAAACUGCUUUCA
rnacentral:lncRNA from 1 species